rnacentral:rRNA from 1 species
UACGAGGGGGUCGAGCGUUUGUCCGGAAUUACUGGGCGUAAAGAGCUCGUAGGUGGUUUGUCGCGUUGUUCGUGAAAACUCACAGCUUAACUGUGGGCGUGCGGGCGAUACGGGCAGACUUGAGCACUGCAGGGGAGACUGGAAUUCCUGGUGUAGCGGUGGAAUGCGCAGAUAUCAGGAGGAACACCGGUGGCGAAGGCGGGUCUCUGGGCAGUAACUGACGCUGAGGAGCGAAAAGCGUGGGGGAGCGAACAGG